CAUGGAUGGUGAACUUAGCCAGGAUUUGAUCCUACACUCUCUCCCUGACUUUCUCUCAGUUUGUCAUAAACUACCAUAUGAACAAAUUGAAUAUCAGCCAGCCUGAGCAUGUUGAAAAUAACAGAGAACCAUUUCAAAGAUGAAAAGGCUCCAGUUCUUCUUGUUGAUAAGAUCAACAAAAAGAAAGGCAAGAAGGAUUCCAAAAAAAAGUUGAAUCCUAAGGCUGGCAUCUUCAAGAAGAAGAUGAAAAAGAUCUCCGCCAAAGGUACUUGCUAUCACUGU
rnacentral:lncRNA from 1 species